GGGGAUGUUCUGGCUUCGACGCUGGUAAUGAAACCUAAUAGUGCAUGCCAAGAGUGGUAAUCUCUUGUAAAUACAGUACCAAUUAAAAUAGUCGCAAACGACGAAACUUACGCACUAGCAGCCUAAGGGCCGCUUGG
rnacentral:tmRNA from 1 species